GGGAUUGGAGCCCUACUAGAAAGGGGCUUCCGAAGAGGAUGGACGAGAUUGGUGGGCUGCACGGGAGAGAUGAAAGCGGCCGAGGAUUUGGGGGGAAGAGACCUACUUUGAAACAGCAAUAGAGAUACCGUUGGAAAAAAACUGUCUCGCUGCCAACCUACCUGAAGGCUACUGGACAGGGAAAGCACGAUGGUCCAGGUGCAGCAGCCCUGUAAAACACACCCACACACCUACUGCGUCAUCAUCAGGUGUGCUUUAAAUGUCCACAUACCUUCUCAGUUUGUCUGAGACUGCUUGCCAAAUUGGAUUGUUGUCUGGCCUCAUUUGUGAAAUAUUGAUCACUGGGCCUUUCUAAGAUCUCUGCAGGGAUCCAUCCCUCAACCAACUUCCCAGUAUAAAACGCCUAGAAACUCAUGCAAAAUUAUGCAUUUUUCUAUUUGGGGAAAAUUGAGUAAAAUCUUCUAAUCAAAGUUUUACCCACAAGCCACAAAAAAAGAUUUAUUUAAUGACUAAUAAUUUCUAUAAGUUACUUACUUUCCUAACUUUCCAAAGGGUAUUUAUGCAUCACAAAAUUUUUAAAUAAAAGAACUAGAACCUUGA